ACUGGUCCGUGAUGAGUUUAACAAAAUCUGUGGAUAGUUUGGAUGAGAUAUGCGGAUAUGGGACUGAGACCAGUG